rnacentral:rRNA from 1 species
AUUGAACGCUGGCGGCAGGCCUAACACAUGCAAGUCGAGCGGAUUUUGUUCGCUUGCUCCUGGAUUCCGCGGCGGACGUGUGAGUCAUGCCUACGAAUCUGCCUUGUCUUGGGGGUUAACUUUCGAAAACGGGCGCUAUUACCCCUUACGUCUUGAGUGAGAACGUUUGGUAUCUUCGGAUCUGACGCUAUCGGAUGAGCCUAGGUCGGAUUAGCUAGUUGGUGGGGUAAAGGCCUACCAAGGCAACGAUCCGUAACUGGUCUGAGAGGAUGAUCAGUCACACUGGAACGGAGACACGGUACAGACUCAUACGGGAGGCAGCAGUGGGGAAUAUUGGACAAGGGGAGAAAGCCUGAUCCAGCCAAGCCGCGUGUGGGAAGAAGGGAUUCGGAUAGGAAAGGAAUAUAAGUUGGGAGGAAGGGCAGUAAGUUAAUACCGUGAUGAGUUGAAGGUACCAAAAGAAUAAGCACCGGCUAACUUCGUG